rnacentral:rRNA from 1 species
CGUAGGAGGCAAGCGUUAUCCGGAGUUACUGGGCGUAAAGCGCAUGUAGGCGGUUGGGCAAGUGGCGAGUGAAAGCUCCCGGCUAAACUGGGAGAGGACACGUCAGACUGCCCGGCUAGAGGUCGGUAGAGGGGCGCAGAAUUCGGGGUGUAGCGGUGAAAUGUGUAGAGAUCCCGAGGAAUACCAGUGGUGAAGACGGCGCCCUGGGCCGAUACUGACGCUGAGAUGCGAAAGCGUGGGGAGCGAACGGGAUUAGAGACCCCGGUAGUCCACGCCGUAAACGAUGCUUGCUAGGUGUCCACUUCCCGACAGGGAAGGGGGUGCCGAAGCUAACGCGCUAAGCAAGCCGCCUGGGGAGUACGGUCGCAAGGCUA